rnacentral:rRNA from 1 species
AUACGGAGGGUGCAAGCGUUGUUCGGAAUUACUGGGCGUAAAGCGCGUGUAGGCGGUCAGGCAAGUCGAAUGUGAAAUCCCCGGGCUCAACCCGGGAAUUGCAUCCGAAACUGCUUGGCUAGAGUCCCGGAGAGGAAGGCAGAAUUCCCAGUGUAGGGGUGAAAUCCGUAGAUAUUGGGAGGAAUACCAGUGGCGAAGGCGGCCUUCUGGACGGUGACUGACGCUGAGAUGCGAAAGCGUGGGGAGCAAACAGGAUUAGAAACCCCUGUAGUCC